rnacentral:ncRNA from 1 species
AUGGAUAGCGCUAGUACCUGAAUGAUUCAGGUAGACGAGGUAGAGAAGUAUCGAAUUGUCAGCGGAUGUCUCUCGGCACCUUCAGUCGUCAUAUGAUGGAAAAUUACAGUGGUAACAUUGUCGACAACU